AGCGAACGCUGGCGGCAGGCUUAACACAUGCAAGUCGAGCGGGCACUUCGGUGUCAGCGGCAGACGGGUGAGUAACACGUGGGAACGUGCCCUUCGGUUCGGAAUAACUCAGGGAAACUUGAGCUAAUACCGGAUACGCCCUUUUGGGGAAAGGUUUACUGCCGAAGGAUCGGCCCGCGUCUGAUUAGCUAGUUGGUGGGGUAAUGGCCUACCAAGGCGACGAUCAGUAGCUGGUCUGAGAGGAUGAUCAGCCACACUGGGACUGAGACACGGCCCAGACUCCUACGGGAGGCAGCAGUGGGGAAUAUUGGACAAUGGGCGCAAGCCUGAUCCAGCCAUGCCGCGUGAGUGAUGAAGGCCUUAGGGUUGUAAAGCUCUUUUCGACGGGGACGAUAAUGACGGUACCCGUAGAAGAAGCCCCGGCUAACUUCGUGCCAGCCGCCGCUGUAAC
rnacentral:rRNA from 1 species